CCUACGGGCGACUGCAGUGAGGAAUAUUGGUCAAUGGGCGUAAGCCUGAACCAGCCAAGUCGCGUGAGGGAUGAAGGUUCUAUGGAUCGUAAACCUCUUUUGUAAGGGAAUAAAAGUCGGGACGUGUCCCGUUUUGUCUGUACCUUAUGAAUACGGAUCGGCUAACUCCGUGCCAGCAGCCGCGGUAAUACGGAGGAUCCGAGCGUUAUCCGGAUUUAUUGGGUUUAACGGGUGCGUAGGCGGCCUUUUAAGUCAGCGGUGAAAGUCUGUGGCUCAACCAUAGAAUUGCCGUUGAAAAUGGUAUGCUGGAGUAUGUGUGAGGUAGGCGGAAUGCGUGGUGUAGCGGUGAAAUGCUUAGAUAUCACGCAGAACCCCGAUGGCGAAGGCAGCCUGCCAAGCCAUGACUGACGCUGAUGCACGAAAGCGUGGGGAUCAAACAGGAUUAGAUACCCCGGUAGUC
rnacentral:rRNA from 1 species